AUGACCACGAUGAUCGCAGCUAGCUCCAUAGUGAAAGCCAACCUUCCUUGCUCGUCAAGGAUAUCCUCCAGCUCAGACUUCUCAUCUGGUCAUUCUUGGCGCCCAUUAGAGGCGGCAAAACAUUACCGGGCGCAUGGUGUGCGCUCGCUGCGGAUAACAUGUGCUGCCACUAAGACUGCGAAAUCUCCAGGUACUGUGAAUACGCUUGGCUCCUUUUACUUGAUAUGGAACUGUUCGUUACUCUGUUUAUGCAUGAUGCUAUCUUGGCAUGUUAACCCCCUUUUUUUUGCAGCUGAAGAAGAAUGGAAGAUCAAACGGCAACUCCUAGUAGAGAAGCGGGUACGUAGUGUUGAUGUGAAGGAAGCACUGCGCCUUCAAAACGAAAACAACUUUGUAAUUCUCGAUGUCAGACCAGAAGCAGAGUUCAAACAGGCUCACCCACCUGGUGCUGUUAAUGUACAAAUAUACAGAUUAAUAAAGGAGUGGACAGCAUGGGAUAUUGCAAGGAGGGCUGCAUUUGCUUUCUUUGGCAUAUUUGCAGGAACAGAAGAGAAUCCUGAGUUCAUAAAAAGCGUUGAAGAAAAACUUAAUAAAGAUUCAAAGAUAAUUGUAGCAUGUUCAGCAGGAGGAACAAUGAAGCCAACACAGAAUCUACCUGAUGGGAAGCAAUCUAGGUCUCUGAUAGCGGCGUACCUGCUGGUGCUAAACGGCUACAAGAACGUGUUCCAUCUGGACGGAGGCCUCUACACAUGGUUCAAGGAAGACCUGCCAUCUGAAGGAGAAGAAGAUUGA
rnacentral:rRNA from 1 species